rnacentral:rRNA from 1 species
GGACGAAAGUCUGACGGAGCAACGCCGCGUGAGUGAUGAAGGCUUUCGGGUCGUAAAACUCUGUUGUUAGGGAAGAACAAGUGCUAGUUGAAUAAGCUGGCACCUUGACGGUACCUAACCAGAAAGCCACGGCUAACUACGUGCCAGCAGCCGCGGUAAUACGUAGGUGGCAAGCGUUAUCCGGAAUUAUUGGGCGUAAAGCGCGCGCAGGUGGUUUCUUAAGUCUGAUGUGAAAGCCCACGGCUCAACCGUGGAGGGUCAUUGGAAACUGGGAGACUUGAGUGCAGAAGAGGAAAGUGGAAUUCCAUGUGUAGCGGUGAAAUGCGUAGAGAUAUGGAGGAACACCAGUGGCGAAGGCGACUUUCUGGUCUGUAACUGACACUGAGGCGCGAAAGCGUGGGGAGCAAACAGGAUUAGAUACCCUGGUAGUCCACGCCGUAAACGAUGAGUGCUAAGUGUU